CAGCUACCUUUGUUGUACACAGGGCCAAAGCUUGUAUGCAAUAAAGUUUUCUGUCCAGGGUGAGAAAUAUUGACACCUUAAUUUCAUUAAUUUUGAUGAAGGUGUGCCAAGGCAGCAAACAUACUUUUUGUCCACGGAUCCCAUUUUGAAGGGCUUACUUAACACUGGCUGAUUGUUACACUAAGUUGUCACAUGUCCUCUUCACAGACCAGCAGGCUGCAGAAUUACUCAUCAUUGCUGGAGGCCUGCCCUGCCUGGAUGUGGUGACCCCCCAUUCCAGAGAGUCUCCCCACAGCUGGGCCCACUGUCUGCCCUGCGGCAUGUGUACAGCCACAGAGAUGUGACAUUUCAUCAGUUCCCUAUAGAAAUGAUCCCACUGAGAUGGCCAGGGACAUCUUUUAUACACCUGGGAAGGGCUUCCCUCUGGCAGGUGGCUCUCUUGGCAGGAUACUUGUUCCAAGGCCUCAGAGGUGCAAACUACACAGAUCUACUGAAGGACCAGAGGCUGGGGCCUCCACCCUCAAACAGCUCUGAUCUCCCAGCUCUGCAACACUGAGGGAGGGACACCAUCCUUCUCUCAGGCAGUUCUGUUG
rnacentral:lncRNA from 1 species